AGGAAAUGCAGAAGUUCUCUACCAGCAUCCUGCCCUUGUAAAGAGAACUCUUGCACCCCCAGAGACUUAACAAGCUAAAGACGAACUCAGCAUGCUACACAAUGUACUGUCUUUUGCAAGCGAUGAUGUCUCAAAAGCAAGGUGUCCUGUGUGAAAGCAGAUUAUUUCCUGUCAGGAGUCACCAUCACAACAAAUCAUUCCAGGGCAUUCAGGGUUUAUGAGAACUGGAGAGUCAUCUUGUAGCUGGGAACACUAGACAGUUGUCACCAGGACUACCUGGAUUCCCUGUGUUUAUGGUAUCAGCUUCCCCUCCUUACAGGG